rnacentral:rRNA from 1 species
UACGGGGGGGGGCAAGCGUUGUUCGGAAUUACUGGGCGUAAAGGGCUCGUAGGCGGCCAACUAAGUCCGACGUGAAAUCCCAAGGCUUAACCUUGGAACUGCGUCGGAUACUGGAUGGCUUGAAUUCGGGAGAGGAUGCAGAAUUCCAGGUGUAGCGGUGAAAUGCGUAGAUAUCUGGAGGAAUACCGGUGGCGAAGGCGGCAUCCUGGACCGACAUUGACGCUGAGGAGCGAAAGCUAGGGGAGCAAACGGGG